rnacentral:RNase_P_RNA from 1 species
UUAGCAGGUCGCCUUAUCGAUCUUGUGCAAGCGAGGUAGGAAAGUCCGGACACUAUAGGAUAACAUAGCGGCUAACGGCCGUCGUCCCGAGAGCUAUCGGGAUAGGACUAGUGCAACAGAAAGUAUGUACAGGUAAUGCUGUAGUGAAACCAGGUAAACUCUAUGUAGUGAAAUGUCGCGUAAAUCAGAGCUUGAGCGCGAUCCGCGCGAUUCUGAAGGGUAGGCAGUUAGAGAUAACGAGCAAUCGUUAUACUAGAUAAAUGAUAAGGUGCUUGAGUAAUUAGGUAACAGAAUCCGGCUUAUAGACCUGCUAUUUUU